UACGCUAAUAUCGUAUCUAUUUGACAAAGGCUCCAAAGGAAGCCACGGCAAACUCUGUGCCAGCAGCCGCGGUAAUACAGAGGUGGCAAGCGUUGUUCGGAAUUAUUGGGCGUAAAGAGCACGUAGGUGGAUUUGUAAGUCAGAUGUGAAAGCCUUCUGUUCAACGGAAGAAUUGCAUCUGAAACUACAAACCUUGAGUAUAGGAGGGGAGAGUGGAAC
rnacentral:rRNA from 1 species